CAGUCGCCACGGGAAUACGGAGGGAGCUAGCGUUGUUCGGAAUUACUGGGCGUAAAGCGCACGUAGGCGGCUUUGUAAGUCAGAGGUGAAAGCCUGGAGCUCAACUCCGGAACUGCCUUUGAGACUGCAUCGCUUGAAUCCAGGAGAGGUGAGUGGAAUUCCGAGUGUAGAGGUGAAAUUCGUAGAUAUUCGGAAGAACACCAGUGGCGAAGGCGGCUCACUGGACUGGUAUUGACGCUGAGGUGCGAAAGCGUGGGGAGCAAACAGGAUUAGAUACCCGCGUAGUCCCUGUUUCUUAUAC
rnacentral:rRNA from 1 species